UUUCUCUCUCUUUUUCUCCUCCUGCCUCUAUUCUCUUCCCUCUCAACUGUGUAAGGUUAAUCAUCUGAUCUUUGAAGAACUGUGUAACGUUAAUCGAGUUUAGGAUUUCGGUCUGUGAUUCGUCAGAUCUGGAGAUUUGAUUAACUGAUCUUGAAUCUCAUCUUAGAAGUGAAGAACAACAUCAAAAAAAAAAGAGAUUCAUCAACCAAUUCCAACAAUUGGGAGGAGGAGGUAUUACAGAGAAUGGAUGUAUCAAAGUGAAGUCAGUGAAGUCAGUGAAGUAAAGAAGUUACAAGGGAACAUGAGAUGUUUUAGAAAUCAGUAAGAAGAGGGAACAUGAAAUGUUUUCUGUAAUGGAAUUUGGAAAUCAGUAUUAAAUUGGAUUUCGGUGGUUGCCGGUGUCUGUAAUAAGACAAGAAGUAGCUGCUGGGAAGGAAUUUGAUGGUGGACAACUGGGUGAUUGUGAAAUAUUCAAUGGGUUCCGGUUUCAUGGAUUUGGUCAUCAUCUCUGUGUUAAGUUUGCACUGUAAGGGAUGCUGAUCAUUUGUGGUUGGUUCAUCUUGCAAACUUGAAGAGGGAGACUGUGUUGACGCCACUUGGUUGAGGAGCUCUCUGACCAGUUUUUCGCCACCAUGUGCAUAACCACUUCACCUGCAUACAUCAUCACAGUGACCACCAGUCUCCAUCAUCAACCUUCAUUCACCACCACCAUCACAGCUGGGCAAAAAAGCAAAAGAAUUGAAGAAAGCAGCUGAUGCACUCCACCGAGAGGAGAAAAACGGUGCUAAGGGGAGAAAAUGGCGCCAAAAUGUCAAGGCUAUUGAAAAGAUGGUAUUAACUGCUGGUGCAACCCCUGCAGUUGAGAUUCUUAGUUUCUGCCUGGCUGAUACUGGAAAUGCAUUCCUUGUGCCUUCACCGUAUUACCCGGGUGGUAUCUGUACUAGACAUUUCUCCACUUUUUCCUUUAGUGGUUUCGUUCGUACCGAGGUACCAACUCAUUUCUUCUAGGUGUUGAGAUGUAUCGUUAGAGCAGGUGAGGGGCAGUGUUGUAGAUUUGAGACCGAAAGAUUAAGCAAGAGAAGGCAGAGACUGUUAUGUGAGUUAUGUGCUUGUUUUGUUUUAUUCUUAUGUGCUCUUAGUUGUGAAAAGAUGUUGUAUGAGCUUUAUACCGCACACAACUUAGUAAUACUUAUUAAGUUUCUAAGCAGAUAUUGUGUUCCUCAAAACUUACGGAUUCUGUUUAGUAGUUGUUGAAACUUGAAAGAAUACAAGUUAUUGUUGGUCAUUGUGUAAUAGAAAUUGUAUACAUUGAAUGAAAGACUUGUGCAGGUAAUUAUUUUUGAA